rnacentral:lncRNA from 1 species
GUGGGGGUCUUCUCUGUAAAAGCCUCCUCUGUGCGGACAUACUUCUCCGCAUAGGUAAGCAUGUCCAAAAAUUUUGGGGAUAAGUCUUCAUUAAUGAUUUUUUUAAGUCAUUCUUAAGUAGGCCACCUAUCAUUGCGGCCAUCGUAGUCGAUUGGUCUAGAUCUUGAACCUCCAGAGUCACCGUAUUGAAAUAGUUAACAAAAGCACGGAUCGA